rnacentral:rRNA from 1 species
GAGGUUAAGCGACUAAGCGUACACGGUGGAUGCCCUGGCAGUCAGAGGCGAUGAAGGACGUGCUAAUCUGCGAUAAGCGCCGGUAAGGUGAUAUGAACCGUUAUAACCGGCGAUUUCCGAAUGGGGAAACCCAGUGUGACUCGUCACACUAUCAUUAACUGAAUCCAUAGGUUAAUGAGGCGAACCGGGGGAACUGAAACAUCUAAGUACCCCGAGGAAAAGAAAUCAACCGAGAUUCCCCCAGUAGCGGCGAGCGAACGGGGAGGAGCCCAGAGCCUGAAUCAGCAUGUGUGUUAGUGGAAGCGUCUGGAAAGGCGCGCGAUACAGGGUGACAGCCCCGUACACAAAAGCGCAUGUGCUGUGAGCUCGAUGAGUAGGGCGGGACACGUGGUAUCCUGUCUGAAUAUGGGGGGACCAUCCUCCAAGGCUAAAUACUCCUGACUGACCGAUAGUGAACCAGUACCGUGAGGGAAAGGCGAAAAGAACCCCGGCGAGGGGAGUGAAAAAGAACCUGAAACCGUGUACGUACAAGCAGUGGGAGCACCCUUUGGGGUGUGACUGCGUACCUUUUGUAUAAUGGGUCAGCGACUUAUAUUCUGUAGCAAGGUUAACCGAAUAGGGGAGCCGGAGGGAAACCGAGUCUU